CCAUGUGAAGGAAGACAGAUUUCCACAAUAAUUUGUAAAAUCCCAGCUUCAAAAUUAGGGGUCUUUGUGUUUAACUUAUGCUGCCGCAUGUGGGCGUGUACUAAAUGUUGGAUCUUUGUUGUAAAGGCUGAAAUUUCAGGCUUAUUGGGGGUUUAUCUCAACUGGAUUGCUUGAACUAGAGGUUUUCUGGUCUUGUUUUUUAUUUGGGUAUUUUGUGCCUUUUUUCCUGUGGGAUUUUUAUGAAAAUUUGUCCGGAGAUUAGAGGCAUUAAGAAAUUUAGAUGAUUGUGGGUUCUUUCUCUGCAUAACUUGGUGAUUUGAGGAGGUCUUUGAUGAAUGGUUU
rnacentral:lncRNA from 1 species